UACGUAGGGGGCUAGCGUUGUCCGGAAUCAUUGGGCGUAAAGAGCGUGUAGGCGGCCCGGUAAGUCCGCUGUGAAAGUCGGGGGCUCAACCCUCGAAUGCCGGUGGAUACUGUCGGGCUAGAGUGCGGAAGAGGCGAGUGGAAUUCCCGGUGUAGCGGUGAAAUGCGCAGAUAUCGGGAAGAACACCCGUGGCGAAGGCGGUUCUCUGGGACGGUACUGACGCUGAGACGCGAAAGCGUGGGGAGCGAACAGG
rnacentral:rRNA from 1 species